GCCAGCAUGACAUAGUGGUUUGAGUGUUGGAUUAUGAUUCCAGAGACCAGGGUUUGAAUCCCCAUUUGGACA